rnacentral:rRNA from 1 species
GAUAGGUGGGAGGCUUUGAAGCGUGGACGCCAGUCUGCGUGGAGCCGACCUUGAAAUACCACCCUUUAAUGUUUGAUGUUCUAACGUGGACCCGUAAUCCGGGUUGCGGACAGUGUCUGGUGGGUAGUUUGACUGGGGCGGUCUCCUCCUAAAGAGUAACGGAGGAGCACGAAGGUUGGCUAAUCCUGGUCGGACAUCAGGAGGUUAGUGCAAUGGCAUAAGCCAGCUUGACUGCGAGCGUGACGGCGCGAGCAGGUGCGAAAGCAGGUCAUAGUGAUCCGGUGGUUCUGAAUGGAAGGGCCAUCGCUCAACGGAUAAAAGGUACUCCGGGGAUAACAGGCUGAUACCGCCCAAGAGUUCAUAUCGACGGCGGUGUUUGGCACCUCGAUGUCGGCUCAUCACAUCCUGGGGCUGAAGUAGGUCCCAAGGGUAUGGCUGUUCGCCAUUUAAAGUGGUACGCGAGCUGGGUUUAGAACGUCGUGAGACAGUUCGGUCCCUAUCUGCCGUGGGCGCUGGAGAACUGAGGGGGGCUGCUCCUAGUACGAGAGGACCGGAGUGGACGCAUCACUGGUGUUCGGGUUGUCAUGCCAAUGGCACUGCCCGGUAGCUAAAUGCGGAAGAGAUAAGUGCUGAAAGCAUCUAAGCACGAAACUUGCCCCGAGAUGAGUUCUCCCUGAGACUUUAGGUCUCCUGAAGGAACGUUGAAGACGACGACGUUGAUAGGCCGGGUGUGUAAGCGCAGCGAUGCGUUGAGCUAACCGGUACUAAUGAACCGUGAGGCUUAACCUUACAACGCCGAAGCUGUU